AAAUGAAUAGACGGGGGCCCGCACAAGCAGCGGAGCGUGUGGUUUAAUUCGUCGGUACGCGAAGAACCUUACCAGGGCUUGACAUGUGGCGGAAAGCGGCGGAAACGUCGUCCUCCCGCAAGGGAUCGUCAUGCAGGUGUUGCAUGGCUGUCGUCAGCUCGUGUCGUGAGAUGUUGGGUUAAGUCCCGCAACGAGCGCAACCCCCGUGGCAUGUUGUACCACUCAUGCCAGACUGCCGAGAGAAACUCGGAGGAAGGUGGGGAUGACGUCAAGUCAGCAUGGCCCUUACGCCCUGGGCUACACACACGCUACAAUGGCCGGUACAACGGGUUGCCAAACCGCGAGGUGGAGCCAAUCCCAUAAAGCCGGUCUCAGUUCGGAUUGCAGGCUGCAACUCGCCUGCAUGAAGCUGGAGUUGCUAGUAACCGCAGGUCAGCACACUGCGGUGAAUAUGUUCCCGGGCCUUGUACACACCGCCCGU
rnacentral:rRNA from 1 species